rnacentral:rRNA from 1 species
UAAGCCAUGCGAGUCGAACGAGUUUAGGCUCGUGGCGUACGGCUCAGUAACACGUGGAUAACCUACCCUUAGGACUGGGAUAACCUUGGGAAACUGAGGAUAAUACCGGAUAGGCAAUUAUUCCUGUAAUGGUUUUUUGUUUAAAUGUUUUUUCGCCUAAGGAUGGGUCUGCGGCCGAUUAGGUAGUUGGUUAGGUAAUGGCUUACCAAGCCGUUGAUCGGUACGGGUUGUGAGAGCAAGAGCCCGGAGAUGGAACCUGAGACAAGGUUCCAGGCCCUACGGGGUGCAGCAGGCGCGAAACCUCCGCAAUGUGAGAAAUCGCGACGGGGGGAUCCCAAGUGCUAUUCUUAACGGGAUGGCUUUUCAUUAGUGUAAAGAGCUUUUGGAAUAAGAGCUGGGCAAGACCGGUGCCAGCCGCCGCGGUAACACCGGCAGCUCUAGUGGUAACAAUUUUUAUUGGGCCUAAAGCGUCCGUAGCCGGUUUAAUAAGUCUCUGGUGAAAUCCUGUAGCUUAACUGUGGGAAUUGCUGGAGAUACUAUUAGACUUGAGACCGGGAGAGGUUAGAGGUACUCCCAGGGUAGAGGUGAAAUUCUGUAAUCCUGGGAGGACCGCCUGUUGCGAAGGCGUCUAACUGGAACGGUUCUGACGGUGAGGGACGAAAGUUAGGGGCGCGAACCGGAUUAGAUACCCGGGUAGUCCUAACUGUAAACGAUGCGGACUUGGUGUUGGGGUGGCUUUGAGCUGUCUCAGUGCCGAAGGGAAGCUGUUAAGUCCGCCGCCUGGGAAGUACGGUCGCAAGACUGAAACUUAAAGGAAUUGGCGGGGGAGCACCACAACGCGUGGAGCCUGCGGGUUUAAUUGGAUUCAACGCCGGACAUCUCACCAGAGGCGACAGCUGUAUGAUAGCCAGGUUGAUGACUUUGCUUGACUAGCUGAGAGGAGGUGCAUGGCC